AUAAUACUCCCUCCGUUCGAAAAUACUUGUCAUCAAAAUAAAUAAAAGGGGAUGUAUCUAGAUGUAUUUUAGUUUUAGAUACAUUCCUUUUUGUUCAUUUUGAUGACAAGUAUUUUCGGACGGAGGGAGUAUGCA
rnacentral:pre_miRNA from 1 species